GUUUGAUCCUGGCUCAGGACGAACGCUGGCGGCGUGCUUAACACAUGCAAGUCGAACGGUAAGGCCCUUCGGGGUACACGAGUGGCGAACGGGUGAGUAACACGUGGGUGAUCUGCCCUGCACUUCGGGAUAAGCUUGGGAAACUGGGUCUAAUACCGGAUAGGACCACGGUCUGCAUGGAUUGUGGUGGAAAGCUUUUGCGGUGUGGGAUGGGCCCGCGGCCUAUCAGCUUGUUGGUGGGGUGAUGGCCUACCAAGGCGACGACGGGUAGCCGGCCUGAGAGGGUGUCCGGCCACACUGGGACUGAGAUACGGCCCAGACUCCUACGGGAGGCAGCAGUGGGGAAUAUUGCACAAUGGGCGCAAGCCUGAUGCAGCGACGCCGCGUGGGGGAUGACGGCCUCGGUGUAAC
rnacentral:rRNA from 1 species